CCUACGGGAGGCAGCAGUGGGGAAUUUUGGACAAUGGGGGCAACCCUGAUCCAGCAAUGCCGCGUGAGUGAAGAAGGCCUUCGGGUUGUAAAGCUCUUUUGUCAGGGAAGAAACAGCAGCUCUAACACAGACUGCGAAUGACGGUACCUGAAGAAUAAGCACCGGCUAACUACGUGCCAGCAGCCGCGGUAAUACGUAGGGUGCGAGCGUUAAUCGGAAUUACUGGGCGUAAAGCGUGCGCAGGCGGUUACACAAGACAGGCGUGAAAUCCCCGGGCUUAACCUGGGAAUGGCGUCUGUGACUGUAUAGCUAGAGUGUGUCAGAGGGGGGUUGGAAUUCCACGUGUAGCAGUGAAAUGCGUAGAUAUGUGGAGGAACACCAAUGGCGAAGGCAGCCCCCUGGGAUAACACUGACGCUCAUGCACGAAAGCGUGGGGAGCAAACAGGAUUAGAUACCCUGGUAGUCCACGCCCUAAACGAUGCUGACUAGUUGUUGGGAAUUUACAUUCUCAGUAACCGUAGCUAACGCGUGAAGUCAGCCGCCUGGGGAUACGGUGCAGNUUAAACGUCAAAGGAUUGACGGCUGAGACGNGCGAGGCGACGACGAGGGAGGAG
rnacentral:rRNA from 1 species